GGCCGUGUAGCUCAGCUGGUUAGAGCGUCGUGCUAAUAACGCGAAUGUCCAGGGUUCGAUCCCCUGCAUGGCCA